rnacentral:rRNA from 1 species
CCGUAGCCUGGUAGCGGGGGGUAACUAUUGGAAACGAUAGCUAAUACCGCAUAACAGUAGAUGUUGCAUGACAUCUGCUUGAAAGGUGCAAUUGCACCACUACCAGAUGGACCUGCGUUGUAUUAGCUAGUUGGUGAGGUAACGGCUCACCAAGGCGACGAUACAUAGCCGACCUGAGAGGGUGAUCGGCCACACUGGGACUGAGACACGGCCCAG